AUGAUGGGGGAGGCCAAGGAGAACGACGUGUACGAGGAGGAGCUGCUCGACUACGAGGAGGACGACGACAAGGCCCUCGACGCCUCCUCCACCGCCAACGCCAAGCCCGCCGCCGACGCCGCCCAGGCCAAGAAGGGCUACGUCGGCAUCCACAGCUCCGGAUUCCGCGACUUCCUCCUCAAGCCCGAGCUGCUCCGAUCAGUGCAACAUGAGUGCAUCCCUCAAGCAAUCCUCGGAAUGGAUGUCAUCUGCCAAGCAAAAUCUGGGAUGGGGAAGACUGCUGUCUUUGUCCUGUCGUCUCUCCAGCAGAUCGAUCCUACUGCUGGUCAGGUGGCAGCGCUCGUAUUGUGCCACACCAGAGAGCUGGCUUACCAGAUUUGCAACGAGUUCGAGAGGUUCAGCAAAUUUCUGCCCGAAUUAAAGGUUGCUGUAUUCUAUGGAGGUGUUCACAUCAAGAAACACCAGGAUUUGCUCAAGAACGACUGCCCCCACAUUGUUGUGGGCACACCUGGGAGGAUUCUAGCUCUAGCUAGAGACAAGGACCUUUCUUUGAAGAAUGUGAGGCAUUUCAUUCUUGACGAGUGUGACAAGAUGCUUGAGUCACUGGACAUGCGGAGGGAUGUCCAGGAGAUUUUCAAGAUGACACCUCAUGAUAAGCAGGUCAUGAUGUUUUCGGCAACUCUCAGCAAGGAGAUCCGUCCCAUUUGCAAGAAAUUUAUGCAAGAUCCUAUGGAAAUUUAUGUUGAUGAUGAGGCAAAGUUGACCCUUCAUGGUCUUGUUCAGCACUAUAUAAAAUUGACAGAGUCAGAGAAGAAUCGAAAAUUGAACGAUCUCUUGGAUGCUCUUGAUUUCAACCAAGUUGUGAUAUUUGUGAAGAGCGUUAGCAGGGCUGCAGAGCUGAACAAGUUGCUGUGUGAAUGCAACUUCCCUUCAAUCUGCAUCCAUUCUGGCAUGACCCAGGAAGAGAGGCUGACCCGAUACAAGAACUUCAAGGAAGGGCACAAGAGGAUUCUUGUGGCGACGGAUUUGGUUGGCAGAGGAAUCGACAUUGAGCGUGUCAACAUUGUGAUAAACUAUGACAUGCCUGAUUCAGCUGAUACCUACUUGCACAGGGUUGGAAGGGCUGGGCGUUUUGGCACCAAGGGGCUCGCCAUAACUUUUGUUUCGUCGGCCUCGGACUCGGACGUCCUUAACCAGGUGCAAGAACGGUUUGAGGUGGACAUCAAGGAGCUGCCUGAGCAGAUUGACACUUCAACAUACAUGCCUUCGUAG
rnacentral:rRNA from 1 species